CAACAACGAAAGGAGGUGAUCCAGUGUCUUAUACCAAGCGCUGUCACCUCGCUGGGAUCGCCCGCUAAGCACGUCUGCUUGGCCAAGGGCGUUUCUCAGCGCCUGGACCAGCGAGUUUCAAGAACGGGGCGCGGCGGAUCACUUCCGCCGCGUCCU
rnacentral:sRNA from 1 species